rnacentral:rRNA from 1 species
GAGUUUGAUCGUGGCUCAGGACGAACGCUGGCGGCGUGCUUAACACAUGCAAGUCGAGCGAGAAUCUACUGAAGAGUUUUCGGACAAUGGAAGUAGAGGAAAGUGGCGGACGGGUGAGUAACGCGUGAGGAACCUGCCUUGAAGAGGGGGACAACAGUUGGAAACGACUGCUAAUACCGCAUGAUGCAUAAGGGUCGCAUGAGUUCUUAUGCCAAAGAUUUAUCGCUUCAAGAUGGCCUCGCGUCUGAUUAGCUAGUUGGCGGGGUAACGGCCCACCAAGGCGACGAUCAGUAGCCGGACUGAGAGGUUGAACGGCCACGAUUGGGACUGAGAUACGGCCCAGACUCCUACGGAGGCAGCAGUGGGG